rnacentral:snRNA from 1 species
AUCGCUUCUCGGCCUUUUGGCUAAGAUCAAGUGUAAAAUUAGCUGACUUUAUUUGCUUGAUUUUAGUUUCAUUUUCAUUUUCUCUACAAUUCGGCGUUCGGACACCCUUA